AAAAGAUUUGAUAAACUAUUUGUUUACUGUGUAGAUCUAUGCUUCGUUAAAUCAUAGUCUUAGAGACAUAAAAAAAGCCCUCCUAUGUUUUUCACUUUUAUUGGCGUUGCUCCUUGUCAUGUAUGAACCCUUAGGAUUGACUGGGAGCUUCUCUUGCAUGUCCUUUUUCUGAUAGUGAAUAUGUUUUUACUUUUCAAAAUACAGGUCUUGAAAAAAUCUGGGAUGUAAAGCCAUUGGUCAAUGGUAAAGAGAUUAUGAGUGUUUUGCAGCUUAAAUCUGGAGGACCACUUGUUAGGGAGUGGGUAAGGCAUUCUUUCCUACACUUGGAGAACCACUAUAGAACUUGUUGAUUCUAAUUUAUUCCCUUUUUGCAGCAACAAAAAUUGCUGGCAUGGCAGCUUGCCCAUCCCACAGGAACUGCAGAGGAAUGCCUUGAUUGGAUGAAGCAAACACAUUUGAAGCGUGCAAGAAUACGGUAAUCAUUCUACUGAAAUUCAUCUUAUUCUCUACUUAACAGAAGAUCUCAUCUGAGCUGACUGGCCAUUGCUUUUCAAUUUAGCACGUCUUCUUAGAUCCCAUGAACAUUCAUGUAGCUUCGGACCAUCGUGGCUGCCGGAGGAGUCUGGGAACUUUAUAUAGGCAGCUAAGAGCAUUCAUUUAUUUCCAAUAACAAUUUUGUAUAGAACUUCAAAAAUGUCCUUGAACUUGUGCCAGAGAAUAUUUUGUUCUCUUGAUGUAUUAGGUAUAUUAUUAGUUCUUGAUGACUGUUGAGAAAAUUCUCCUUAAAAUAUAUUUUAAAGGAUAUUAAAAAUAAUUCUCAUUCUUUUUCUUUAAUUUAUUCCCUGUAAAUAAAAUUAUCGCCUUCUUAUAAUCCAACUAAAAAUGUCAAGUUCCUGGAGUUCUUG
rnacentral:misc_RNA from 1 species